GUGGUAAUACCGGAUGCUCCGCUCCAUCGCAUGGUGGGGUGGGAAAUGCUUUUGCGGCAUGGGAUGGGGUCGCGUCCUAUCAGCUUGUUGGCGGGGUGAUGGCCCACCAAGGCGUUGACGGGUAGCCGGCCUGAGAGGGUGACCGGCCACAUUGGGACUGAGAUACGGCCCAGACUCCUACGGGAGGCAGCAGUGGGGAAUAUUGCACAAUGGGCGCAAGCCUGAUGCAGCGACGCCGCGUGCGGGAUGGAGGCCUUCGGGUUGUAAACCGCUUUUGUUCAAGGGCAAGGCACGGUUUCGGCCGUGUUGAGUGGAUUGUUCGAAUAAGCACCGGCUAACUACGUGCCAGCAGCCGCGGUAAUACGUAGGGUGCGAGCGUUAUCCGGAUUUAUUGGGCGUAAAGGGCUCGUAGGCGGUUCGUCGCGUCCGGUGUGAAAGUCCAUCGCCUAACGGUGGAUCUGCGCCGGGUACGGGCGGGCUGGAGUGCGGUAGGGGAGACUGGAAUUCCCGGUGUAACGGUGGAAUGUGUAGAUAUCGGGAAAGAACACCA
rnacentral:rRNA from 1 species